GCCUUUGAUACCACUUGAUCCAAACCUCUGCUCUGAUCAUCAGGGAGACUGAGGCGCAGGGAGGUGAAAUGAUCUGCCCCAGUCGACCAAGCUAACUGGUGGCGGAACCUAGACAACACGGAGCUCUCGCAUUUUAACCCAGGUCUCGUCCCUGGGCUGCUUGGUUCUCUGAUGGAGAGCUGGUGAGUUUGAGCCAACUUGGCGUGGACUUGAUGGGUCUUCUAACUUUCUCAAGGUGUGGUACCGACAUUGUAAUUACGCAUUGGGGAUCCCACAGGGAGAAUAUGGAGAUCCCACAGGCAGAAGGCUAUGUGAUCUACAUAUUAGGAAGGCUCCCUAUGGAAGAUCGAAGAAACACUUGCAUGUUGAAAAUCAGAAAGGAAGCAGUAUAUUCCGCACGUCUGAGUCGCAAAAAUAGAGAACACACUCAGUGGGAAAGGCGCCUACAAACGCUGGUCAUUUCAAAGCGGUGGUUUCUGACGGACCGUUCCGUGGUUUUGGUGCCAUCAGAAGUUUGGGGUUUCUAAACAUGAUUGGGGUGUAGGAAAGAGCCACAUGUUCAUGACGUGGGAGGGCAGAGAGACCCAUGAGGGAAGAAAAGGCCACUUCCUGACUGCAAUAAAGAAGACUGCAGAAAUAAACGGAAGGUGGGGAAACGCAGCCGUGGCUACGGCCCCAGAAAAUUCUGCAAGCAGUGCAACAACUCUGCAAGACUACUUAUAAUUUCUUUUCAUCAGGAAAAGAAAAACAUAUCUUUGGUAGUGUGCCAAUUCUCAGCAAUUAAUGGCACGUCUUUCCUUGGGAAAAGAUACAAUUAAAAUCCUCCUGAAGUCGUUGCUCCCUGACUGCGGUGGACACCAGGGCUGCUCACUGAUGCUUCUCUUUCCUUCCCGACACCCACGGUGGGCUGUGCUCUCCCGCCCACUUGCCGUGUCCUCACGUGACUCGCGUUGGCCAAUGAAGAGACGGGAGGCUUUGAAAGGCAGGCGGCGGCACCACCUUUUCUUCUUUCCGGUCGUGGCAACCGGCAACGUCCCUGCCGGCGGCGGCUCUGCUGCCUGGGGCCGGGACUGAGCAGGACAGCGGUGUGGCACAGGACCUCUGCUUGACCCUGCUAGAGAGUGGGGUGCCUAAGGAAGAAACCUGCAAAUUUAAGCCCCUGAAUCUGUAGACCGACUCUUAAGCACAGCGGGAUCUAACCUGUGCUGGCUGAAAUGCCAGGCAACUCGAGUUCAUCUUCAUCAGUCCCGCCUCUUCGGAUGCUGGCUGCGCUGCUCGCAACUGGGGGGGAAGCGCUACAUGCAGGGAGUCUCGCUAGGAGCUGGACGCCUUCCAGCUUCCAUCUCAUACAUUUUCACAAUAAGCGGAAAGGCGAGUGUCAAUAACCGCACUUUCCCUGUAAGAACCGAGAAGGGAAGUGACUUGCCCCAGCUCCCCGGCUCGCAGCAGAGCUGAGACAGGAAGACAGGUUUUCUGAAUAUCACACGAAGCUGGGCAGGGCCUCCUGUUACUGCUUAGAAACCAAGGGGCCUGAGCCGUGGGAAGCUUUCUUUCAGCAUGGUCCCCCACUUAGAGGUGACUGUCACCCUCCCACUAAAUGGCGAGGAAAUAAAUCCUUGGCAUGCAGCCCCUGAAAGGUUGUCCCAAACGGGGAACACCCGAGGCGGAGUCCAGCCCUUUCCUGCACAGGGAGGUCUUUACAACACGGAUUUUCCAAGGCAAUCGGAUGCCUCUGCAGUCUAAUCUCAAAAGUAUUUUCUUACUGAAAAGAAAUCUGCGCUUUUGUCUGGCUCACCCCCAGAACGCAAUCCCAGAGUUUGUAAGUCAAAGCUACAUAUUGACUUGAUUGCAGAUUGCUGUCUCUGAUGCAAAAAGGUUGAUCUUUGUAAAGCUGGUCUUCGAAGAACCAGACUAGCCUGGAUUCGGUGCGUCGCAUAUGUUUUAUGCCUCAGCAGCUGAACCAGAGUCACUGCAGUAAACUGAGUUCAUCGGUUUGGCCAGAUCCUGGACUUGCGGGUACAGGGGAAGAAGAGCGGCCACCUCCCACAGCGGGACCGAGGGACCCGUGUGCCCACCUCCCCCUUUGGGUACCUGACUGGGGCCACCGCUUUGGGGUAAAUCAGUACAGAGAUCAGUGUGGGCCGUAAGGUGGAGAGGGUCCCUUGAUUCAAGGAGCAGAGAACCACGGAAGCCAAAGAGAGGGUUUCCCACCUGUGAGACCCUUGGGCCAGAAAGCCGGUCGGGGCUUGAGGCAGCUGCACGGAUGGGCAGUUCUCUUUGCUCUCUUGUGGCUGUACCAUCCCAUGCUGUGCUUUCUCUUGCCUUUCACAAGAUGUGUCUGCUCUAUUUUCCUGUCUUUAUUAACAGGCCGGUUCCUCAAUCCAGAUGCCAGAAAGAGCUAGUCCAGAAGCCUUUGCUUACGGACCUGGUGACAUGGCCUUUUUGGGUAGCGCUCUUGGCCAAAGGCAUCGUCACGAGCCAUUAGGCAGCUCAUGGAUAGGCUGCCUCAGGCCAGGUGCCCGCCUCCGUCCCCUCAGUGGUCACUGAUGCACAGACACCGCCUAAUGUGACUCUCCUGAUCCAGGGGGCUGUGGCCAGGGCAGUUCAUACCAGAAGCAAGCGUUAGGGAACAAGCUGUGGGACUUGUGUGUACCUUGAGUCCAGGGCCGUCACCCAGAACUCAGCUUGGCCAGCGGCCCCCAGAUUUCCUCAUCUGUAAAUAGGGGGAUGGUGACACCUGGUUCAUGGGGUCGUCGUGAGACUUAAACCGACUGAUGGACAAUAUUAUACUAGCGAUAUUAUUAUCAGAAAGGGAUAACCCCAAGCCAUUUUGACCCAUCUGGCUUCUCAGACAGCCUGGCCAUUCAUCUAAAGAGAAAAACAGCGGCAGAAAGCAAGUAACCAGUGCGGACAGCUCGGGGAUGGGCAGCUCCUGCUUUCCUGAGGGAGGAGGGGUCAGGGCAGCCAGGAGUCCUGUGCCCGGGGUCCCACAGGACUGCGGGUGCGUGGACUGUGAGUGUGGGACAGUGUGUGUGUGUGUGUGUGUGUGUGUGUGUGUGUGUGGAAUGAGUGGCAGAUAAGAGACGACCCCUCCUCUUCCUCUGUUCAGAGCCUCUCCUGUCCACCUUUUCACCACGGCCCUCUCUACCUUUCGUUUUCAUUUUCUUGGAGCACAGCUGAUUUACAGCGUCGUGGUAGAUUCGCAUGCACAGCCACGGGAUUCAUGUGUGUAGGAAGAGGUAUGUUCUUUUUCAUAUUCUUUUCCCGCAGAGGUUGUUAUAAGCUAUUGAGUCGAGGUCCCCGGUCUACACAGCAUAUCCUCAUUGCUCAUCUAUUUCCUAUACUGUAGUGUGUGUGUGUGUGCAGCCCGACCUCUUAAUUUAACCUCUCGCCCCUUCCCCGCAGUGGGUAAGCGUUUUCUGUGUCUGUGGGUCUGUUUCUGUUCAUUUGUGUAUAUACGUGUUUUUAGAUUCCACAUAGGUGAUAGC